AACGCACCUUGCGCUCCUUGGUAUUCCGAGGAGCAUGCCUGUUUGAGUGUCAUUAAAUUCUCAACCUUUAUCAGCUUUUGCUGAUGAUGGCUUGGAUGUGGGGGUUUAUUUUGCUGGCUUCUUUACAGAUGGUCAGCUCCCCUUAAAUGCAUUAGCCGGUGCCCCGCGUGGACUGUCUAUUGGUGUGAUAAUUAUCUACGCCGUGGACAUCUGCAAUCAUAUGGGUUUGCACUGCUUCCAAUCGUCUGUUCAAUCAGACAAUACAUGACAAUUUGACCUCAAAUCAGGUAGGACUACCCGCUGAACUUAA
rnacentral:misc_RNA from 1 species